AUUGAACGCUGGCGGCAGGCUUAACACAUGCAAGUCGAGCGGGGUGAUGGUGCUUGCACUAUCACUUAGCGGCGGACGGGUGAGUAAUGCUUAGGAAUCUGCCUAUUAGUGGGGGACAACAUCCCGAAAGGGAUGCUAAUACCGCAUACGUCCUACGGGAGAAAGCAGGGGAUCACUUGUGACCUUGCGCUAAUAGAUGAGCCUAAGUAGAAUGAGGUAGUUGGUGGGGUAAAGGCCUACAAGGGCGACGAUCUGUAGCGGGUCGGAGAGGGUGAGCCGCCACACUGGGACUGAAACACGGCCCAGACUCCCACGGGAGGCAGCAGUGGGGAAUAUUGGACAAUGGGGGGAAUCCUGGUCCAGCCAUGCCGCGUGUGUGAAGAAGGCCUUAUGGUUGUAAAGCACUUUAAGCGAGGAGGAGGCUCUUUUGGUUAAUACCCAAGAUGAGUGGACGUUACUCGCAGAAUAAGCACCGGCUAACUCUGUGCCAGCAGCCGCAGUAA
rnacentral:rRNA from 1 species